rnacentral:rRNA from 1 species
GAUGAACGCUGGCGGCGUGCCUAAUACAUGCAAGUCGAGCGAACGGACGAGAAGCUUGCUUCUCUGAUGUUAGCGGCGGACGGGUGAGUAACACGUGGAUAACCUACCCAUAAGACUGGGAUAACUUCGGGAAACCGGGGCUAAUACCGGAUAAUAUUUUGAACCGCAUGGUUCAAAAGUGAAAGACGGUCUUGCUGUCACUUAUGGAUGGAUCCGCGCUGCAUUAGCUAGUUGGUAAGGUAACGGCUUACCAAGGCAACGAUGCAUAGCCGACCUGAGAGGGUGAUCGGCCACACUGGAACUGAGACGCGGUCCAGACUCCUACGGGAGGCAGCAGUAGGGAAUCUUCCGCAAUGGGCGAAAGCCUGACGGAGCAACGCCGCGUGAGUGAUGAAGGUCUUCGGAUCGUAAAACUCUGUUAUUAGGGAAGAACAUAUGUGUAAGUAACUGUGCACAUCUUGACGGUACCUAAUCAGAAAGCCACGGCUAACUACGUGCCAGCAGCCGCGGUAAUACGUAGGUGGCAAGCGUUAUCCGGAAUUAUUGGGCGUAAAGCGCGCGUAGGCGGUUUUUUAAGUCUGAUGUGAAAGCCCACGGCUCAACCGUGGAGGGUCAUUGGAAACUGGAAAACUUGAGUGCAGAAGAGGAAAGUGGAAUUCCAUGUGUAGCGGUGAAAUGCGCAGAGAUAUGGAGGAACACCAGUGGCGAAGGCGACUUUCUGGUCUGUAACUGACGCUGAUGUGCGAAAGCGUGGGGAUCAAACAGGAUUAGAUACCCUGGUAGUCCACGCCGUAAACGAUGAGUGCUAAGUGUUAGGGGGUUUCCGCCCCUUAGUGCUGCAGCUAACGCAUUAAGCACUCCGCCUGGGGAGUACGACCGCAAGGUUGAAACUCAAAGGAAUUGACGGGGACCCGCACAAGCGGUGGAGCAUGUGGUUUAAUUCGAAGCAACGCGAAGAACCUUACCAAAUCUUGACAUCCUUUGACAACUCUAGAGAUAGAGCCUUCCCCUUCGGGGGACAAAGUGACAGGUGGUGCAUGGUUGUCGUCAGCUCGUGUCGUGAGAUGUUGGGUUAAGUCCCGCAACGAGCGCAACCCUUAAGCUUAGUUGCCAUCAUUAAGUUGGGCACUCUAAGUUGACUGCCGGUGACAAACCGGAGGAAGGUGGGGAUGACGUCAAAUCAUCAUGCCCCUUAUGAUUUGGGCUACACACGUGCUACAAUGGACAAUACAAAGGGCAGCGAAACCGCGAGGUCAAGCAAAUCCCAUAAAGUUGUUCUCAGUUCGGAUUGUAGUCUGCAACUCGACUACAUGAAGCUGGAAUCGCUAGUAAUCGUAGAUCAGCAUGCUACGGUGAAUACGUUCCCGGGUCU